UUGCCGUGAAGAAGAAAGUGGAGAUGAUAUUGACUGCAUUGUAAUCAAUUCCUUCUUUUGUCCAUUGACCACGACACGACAAGAUCUUUCGAUUCUAAGACAUAUUUCUAAAAUUCAUGAAUCCAGGAGGACUUACAAGUUGAUUUAGGCAUACUUAGGGAUCUUCGAUCUAAACUGGAGGAAUUCUUCAAUGCACAAAUGGCUUACUUGUGCGGAUAGAAUAGAAAUCAUGAUGCUCGGUAAGCUUCACAGUUUCUUAAACAAAGAGAUUCCAGAAAACAUGAUUGCGAGGAUUUC